AGAGACUUCGAGAGGCUGCAACAAGACCAGCCUGCGAGGAUUAGUGGGGCGCCUCAGGAUAACAAUAUAAUGUUGUCGGCGAGAUCUGCUAAAUUCUUCAAGAAGUCCGGUUUACAGAACUGAAGCUGUUUAAGCACAAGGUGUCCCAGUUUAUAGAUGAGGAUCUACGGUUGCAAUGCUUUUGAUGCAUGCAAUCAGGAGGAUGCUACUACUCUUAUGGAGCUUCUUUGGCAUGGUAAAAUGUGUCUUAUUCAUGCAGUUACGCCUGAAAUAGUGGUUCCCACUGCAACACGUGGGCUUAUUUUCUAGUUAUGUCUAUUUUUGUCAUUAUACAAAAUUUCCAAAAUUUUACAUUAGUAUUUACCAAACGCUUUUAUACUACUUUUCAUACUUACAGCAGUUUUAAAAAUACAGUUUACCAAACGUUCAGCUGCUUUAUUUUACAGCUGAUUAUUCUUAAA